CUCAUGACUCAGUCAAGUUGACCCAUGAAAUUAACCAUCACAAGUGCCUUGAUUACAUGCAUCGUCCUAAUAUAUUGGUCUUAGUCUCCUCAAUUAUAAAAUGAAGCGUGAACAAGAUUAUCUCUAAAGGUCCUUCUAAUUAUAACUUUUGUGUUUUAAAGCAGAAGUCCAAGUCCUUGGUGUGGAAACAUCUUAACAGAGUUUAAUUCAGAAAUGGCCCCUGUGAAUCCACAGAUCUUAGAAACUGAUGAUUAUACUCAGGGUCUGACUGUUACUCUCUCCUUACCUGCCUUUUUUUUUUCCCCCAAUCAUAAAGUUUUGAUAGAACACCUUUAACAGUACAGCUCUAGGAGCCUCUCAUUAACACACAGUUCCAGAAGGUUCCAGGACGGCAGGUCCCAGCUCUGGUUGUAGACGCUCUGCUUUCACUGAACAUAGAUGAUGGCUGGAGCUGUCCCUUCUCAGGUGUGUGUGCCUGACAUAAAGCCCCCCCCCCCCCGGAGGCAGAGCCUGGGGUGAGAUGGCACUUGGCAGUGGGCACGUGGCUCUGCCUUGGGCUUCAGGACAGGAGAGCGUACCCAGAGCAGCACUAGUGUCCUCGGUGCACACAGUGCCAGCUGGACGGGUUCCACGGAGAGCAGCCACAAUGGUGCUGAAACCCACUGAAUUUCUAAGCCCAUCCUGGUGCCUGGCAGGAAGAAUGGAGCUCACAGAGGAGUCUAAAAUUUGUCUUGCUGCCACAGAGCCAGUAAGACACAUGUAA
rnacentral:lncRNA from 1 species